UACGUAGGUGGCAAGCGUUGUCCGGAUUUACUGGGCGUAAAGAGCGCGCAGGCGGUCGUUCAAGUCGCGUGUGAAAGCCCCCGGCUCAACUGGGGAGGGUCACGCGAUACUGAUCGACUCGAAGGCAGGAGAGGGAAGUGGAAUUCCCGGUGUAGUGGUGAAAUGCGUAGAGAUCAUGAGGAAGACCAGUGGCGAAGGCGGGUCUCUGGACAGUUCCUGACACUGAGACACGAAGGCCAGGGGAGCAAACGGGG
rnacentral:rRNA from 1 species